GACGAACGCUGGCGGCGUGCUUAACACAUGCAAGUCGAGCGGUAAGGCCCUUUCGGGGGUACGACGAGCGGCGAACGGGUGAGUAACACGUGGGUGACCUCGCCCUCAGCUCUGGGAUAAGCCUGGGAAACCGGGUCUAUACUGGAUAUGACUCCAUGACGCAUGUUGUGGGGUGGAAAGCCUUGUGCGGCUGAGGAUGGGCCCGCGGCCUAUCAGCUUGUUGGUGGGGUGAGGCCUACCAAGGCGACGACGGGUAGCCGGCCUGAGAGGG
rnacentral:rRNA from 1 species